GACGAACGCUGGCGGCGUGCCUAAUACAUGCAAGUCGAGCGCAGGAAGCCGUCUGAACCUUUCGGGGGGACGACGGUGGAAUGAGCGGCGGACGGGUGAGUAACACGUACGAACCUGCCCAUAGGUCUGGGAUAACCACGAGAAAUCGGGGCUAAUACCGGAUGUGUCAUCGGACCGCAUGGUCCGCUGAUGAAAGGCGCUGCGGCGUCGCCCAUGGAUGGCUUUGCGGUGCAUUAGCUAGUUGGUGGGGUAAGGGCCCACCAAGGCGACGAUGCAUAGCCGACCUGAGAGGGUGAUCGGCCACACUGGGACUGAGACACGGCCCAGACUCCUACGGGAGGCAGCAGUAGGGAAUCUUCCACAAUGGACGAAAGUCUGAUGGAGCAACGCCGCGUGAACGAUGAAGGCUUUCGGGUCGUAAAGUUCUGUUGUAAGGGAAGAACAAGUGCCGCAGGCAAUGGCGGCACCUUGACGGUACCUUGCGAGAAAGCCACGGCUAACUACGUGCCAGCCGCCGCGGUAA
rnacentral:rRNA from 1 species